rnacentral:snRNA from 1 species
AUCUUUGUGCAGUGGCAGUAUCGUAGCCAAUGAGGUUUAUCCGAGGUGCAAUUAUUGCUUAAUGGAAAAGAAAAAAAGGUUAGCGAUAAAAAAAAAAAAAAAAUGAUUUCUAGGGUUUGGAGUCCAAAGUUCCAAUCCCAGCUCUGCAACCUUCUGUUACCUUGACCAAG